GGGGAACUAAGAUUAUCUAUUACACAACAUCGUAUAUUUUUGAAAGGAAAGAAAAACAACAGUGUAAAGAAAACAUGAGUGCAAUAACAUGUACAUUGUGAAUAGCAGGGGAAAAAAAUCAAAUCAGGAUUUAAAAACCUUUUCAAUUAUUGAGAAUCGCUUAAAAAACAAUUAUGAAUCAUCUUUAUUAAUGUGGGGGUUUGUGAUGAGGUUUCUCAGUAUUUUUUAAUUAAACAUAAGAUAGUCAAUUCAAAUAGUGAAAUGAAUCAGUCCAAGUAAACUCUCUUUGUCAUACUCUAGUUCCCUGGUCCUGGGGUGGGGAAGUUGCCACUAUCUUAAGAAAACACUGAAAAGGCACUGUUCUACAACUAAUCUUAGUCUUAAUCCUAAAAGUUGUUUCAUUUCGACCAGAUGGUUGAUGAAGCCUAGCAGAAAAGGAAAUUACUCUCAGGACUGCAACUAUGAUAACUGUGCAGUAUCACCUCAAGGGCCAAAUAAAAUAAAGUCAAAAGUCAAAUCAAUCAUUGGCUUGGGGUUCCCC
rnacentral:lncRNA from 1 species